UACGAAGGGGGCGAGCGUUGUUCGGAUUUACUGGGCGUAAAGGGCGCGUAGGCGGGCUCGCAAGUCAGGGGUGAAAUCCUCCGGCUCAACCGGAGAACUGCCUUUGAUACUGCGGGCCUAGAGGGAGGUAGGGGUCGACGGAACUUCCGGUGGAGCGGUGAAAUGCGUAGAUAUCGGAAGGAACGCCGGUGGCGAAAGCGGUCGACUGGACCUCUUCUGACGCUGAGGCGCGAAAGCCAGGGGAGCAAACAGG
rnacentral:rRNA from 1 species